GCGGAUAUCCGGGCGCUGCGGGCCCGGCAUGCCGUUCGCCACCCGGGGUCAGAGGGCGGUGGGCGCCUCGCCCAGGUCGUUGCCGGACUGCGGGGUUGAGGGCGCGGGUUGGGUGCCACCUGGCGGGUGUCCGCGCGUGGGCGGACCCCGCCAGCUGGGCCCUCUCGCGCGUGGGGCGGCAGAGGACAAAGGAGCCAGGCAGCCGCGGCGGAGGGGAGGGAGAGCGAGAGCGAGAGCGCGCGGCCGCGGGACCCAGCCGGUACCUGGGCACCACUCGCUCCGAGUAGCAGCAUCCCUUCCCCAGGGCACUCUGUGUGCUAGGACGUAGCACAGUGCUCAGGAAACGUAAAAGGACUGAAAUCAGACCACGCUCGUUCUCCAACCCCAACGGACGUCGUCAGGAGCGCGCUGUAAAGGCGCGGACAGGAGUUGUGUCUUUGCAAAGUCAGCUUUGCUCAGUCGUAAGGCAGUGGUAGCCAUUGUAAAGCAGGUUCAGGAUUCCAAGCUCAGUGACGUUGCGUUACACGUUGAACUUGGCUUCCUGCAAGUCACCUAAAGUGACAAAAGAGAACAAGGGAUAAGAAGUUUAUGCGCCAACUGCAAAGCCGGUUGAGAUGAAGCCGGGGUCUGGUUCGAAAUGCGUCAGCGGUUCAUGCACGCCGCUCCCUCUUCGAGCGGAGCAAGCAUCCCCUCCGUUCGGAGAGCCACGGGGCCGAGAGCCAUGGAGCCUCCCGGGGCAGCGCUCAAGCCCUCAGACGUCGGUUUUAUUUGGGCGCGGGGAGUGGGGGGAGCGCCAGCGUCUGGAGAAUCUGGAGGUUGGUUGCGGAACUCCUACUUUUCGCAGGAAUUUAAUCAGCUUUAGGUCUUUCCAGACCUCCUCCGGUUCUUGUGAUUCUCGGCGCCUGGUUCUUCCAGGUUCCAUGGCCUUGUGGGUUCUCAGGCCUUAGUUCUGCCAGAGUUUGGGUGAGCUCUGCUCUCGGCUGCUUUCCUGAUUCUAUCACAACUUGGCAUGAGUGAUGCCAUCUUGCACUCUAGAGAACUAAGUUAGAAAUCAGCAACAGAAGGAAACCGGGGAAAGUCACAGUUGUGUGGACAUUAAGCAGCGGUCCUCCGUAACUAACAGGGCAAGGAGAGAAUCAUGAGAAAUAAGAUGCUUGUGAAUGAAAAUAAAAACCUAUACUAAAACUUGUGUGCUGCCUGAUAAUGCAGCGCUUAGAGGGAAAUUUAUGACAAAAACCCCAUAUUAAAGAUAUCUGGAAUCUAGCCUUUGGCCAUAAGAAAUGAGAAAAGCAAACUAAAAAAGCAGAAACAAAAAUAUUGAUUAGGGCAGGAAUAAAUAGAAAACAGAAGAGCAGUGGGGAAAAACUUACAAAACCAAAAGUUGGUUUUUUGAAAAGAUUAACACACGACAAAACUUUAGCUGCAUUGACCAGGUUAAAAAAAAAAAAAAAAAAAAGAGGAAAACUCUAAUUACCGAAAUCAGGAAAGUGAAAAGAGCACUACUGACUUCGCGAAAUUAAAAUGAUAAUAAGGGAAAAAUAUAAAAACUGUGUGCCAACAGACUAGAUAAUUUAAGUGAAAUGGAUAAAGUUCUGGAAAAACCAAAAUACAGAAAUUGAAGAAGAAAUAGAAAAUAUGAGUAGACCUGUAACAUAUGUAGAACUAUUGCCACUUUUUCUGAGUGUUAUAAAAGGCCUCGUGGACUCCAGAACUUUCAAAGAGGGGUUCUAUGUCAGUACUUUCUCAGUCCUUGGUCCCCACCUCUGAUCCUGCUAGUGGUCUCUGGAAGCUUCUUUCAAAGCUCCUGAGUCCUCAGUCGUGGUCAGGUGUUGAAGGAAGCCACACUCCUCAGCAAGAUAGAGCUAUUGUGGUUUUUCCUCUGGUUAUCCGAGAAGCAGAUACACCUCACUAAAAAGUAUCAUUUUUCUAGAAUUAAUACAGUCUAGCCUUGGGGUGAAAGCGUACAUUUUCUACUAACAUGACUUUGAUCCUGGUCCUUAGAAAAUACCAACACGUGUUUCAUGUUGUUGCCAUGAGGGGCUGCCGGCUCUACCCAACCCUACUGUGCAGGACAAGAGCCCCACACGGUGUGGACUCCAUCGUACGUACCUUGCAGUGGUGGCAUUUGUAUAUUUUUCCGAUUGCUGAUGAAAGGAAGCGACCCUGCCUCCUCACCGUCCUCGGGCCACUCCAGCUGUCACGGAAAUGUGCUCUUUUGGGGUCUGGCAAUUGCAAGUUCUCCAGCCCCCGCCCUCCCCAGAUGUACCCAGUCCCAGAAGCCUCAGGAGGUCAACCUGCAGUGUUCCAGGUGCUAUCCCAAGGAGAUCCCCGGGACUCAUUUCGUGGGGCCCCCAGCCUCCUGCGUGGGUCUGACGGGCCUGGUGCUCUCCGUGGGGCUUCUACAAAAACACAUCACACGGUGCCCAGGAUUGUUUUCACUGGCGUGCCGGACGCUGUGUAUCCAAAAAGCACAGAGCUAGAACAGCCUUUCUCCCGCAGGCACACGGGGCGAGAGGCUGGUCGCCCGAUCGCAGUCAGCCUGAUCUGGGGCAGGUGGAGGCCGAGGUCCGGCUCAGUCCGCUUCCGGGUUCAGAGUAUCUCCGAGGUUGUUGAUACUGUGUGAAAAUCGGAUUGAUUGUUUUGCAGAAUGAUCUCGUAUCCUGCGGUCUUGUGAAGAUAAUCUCAUUUAUUAGUUCUGGUUGUUGUUUUUUGUUUGUUUGUUUUGGUUUUUUGUGGAAGUCUUAGAAUUUUCUCUACAUAGACUCAGGUCAUCUGUAAAUAGUUUUGUUUCUUCGUUUCAACAUUUAUGGUUUAAUUUCUCCUGCUUUCUCUCAUCCCCUCCCUUUCCUCCUUUCUCUGAAGGGAUGUGGCCAUUGCUCUGACUGAAGCCCCCACACAAUGCUGAGUAGAGAUACUCACCCAGUCUGCACUCCCGGGAUCAAUUCCGACUGGUCAUGGCUUACAAUCCUUUUUAUAUGCUUCUGGAUUCGGUUUGCUGAUAUUUUGUGAAGGGUUAUGUGUCAGUGUUCAUCAGAGAUGCUAUGUGAAGCUUUCCUGUGAUGUUCUGUCUGGCUUCGGCCUCGGGGUGAUUCACAUGGGCCAUUUCCGAGGCCCCGGUUUCCCCACAGGAACUUCGAUGCUCAGCAAAGACACAAGACGGUGGGUUUCGUUUGGCUCAUUCGUGUCUUCGUAGCCGCUUGUCCAUUCGUCUUCAUCGGCACAAGGCUGUCCGUGACGUUCCCAUACCGCCCUUUCCGUGUCUGUGGUUGGGAGAGACCCCUCCUCUCCGAUCGCCGGCUUUGCAGUCGGACCUCCUCUCUUUUCUCUUGGUCGCAGCUCAGGGUCUCUGGGCCUUAGCACUGCUGACGUCGUGGGGGCGGCCCCACACGUUACAGCCUCGCUGACACACGAGUGGACCCGCAGGGGUGAGGUGUGUUUAGGACCAACCCCUGUGGAGGGCGGGGGGGGGGGGGGGGGACGUGGGACCUGUCCCGGGCUGUCAGGGCUGUCCCCAAAUGCUGCUGGCGUUUUCCUACCUGCCCCGCUUAGACUGCAGGUGUGGGUCCCUGGGGUGGGUCCCUGUGGGUGUGGGUCCCUGUGGGUGUGGGUCCCCUGUGGCUGAGGCACUGGGGCCGGAGGGGCUCACGCGGCUCGGCCUGGAGCAGGGCGGCUAAGCCCUCCUGGGGGCAGAUGGGGGGCCGGUGCUUCUGUCUCCCCAACGAGGGCCCUUUCUCUCUGAAGCUUACACACGAGGAAAACUAGCAGGGCCGUGAAGACACAAGCUGUGACAGUGGCAGAUUCUCUCCAGAUCUCAGGGCCGUAUUUCCAAUGUGUUUUUGUGGGAUCACGCGCCCCCCCCCUUGCUGGACACAGAGAGACUGGUGGUGUCCUCCCUCCCCGAAAAUGUGCUGUGCGCACGCGGCUCUGUUUUCCCCUGUCCCCACACCUGUAGCUGUGUGAGGCCGGGGCUGCAUCUCAGCUGGAAAAUUAACACUUGAAUCCUAAAUAAUAAUAAUUAUUGUUGCUGGUUA